CCUCCCCGCACAUGCGCGGCUCUCCAGGACCGGCUUGCUCACACUCGGACUUCCGGCAGUACCCGCUGGACCAAAGCGGUGCGGAGAAAGGGACAGCCUGGGCACGGACACACACCUGAGAGCUUCCCGUUUGUCUUUCCGCAUCUCCACUUCAUCGCUGGUUUUAUUCUUGGUCCUCUCGUUUCAGCGAAUCCCUCAGAGGAGUUUCAGCAUUUGGGGAUUUGAAUGGCCCAUGACCAAUAUUGUGAAAGGACUUUUGUUUGCUGCAAUGAAAAGGAGACUCCUAUUUCCCAAUAAUGAACUUAACUUAAACAAGUAUUAAAAUAUGCUCAUUAAAGCUGUCAGAAGCGACGGCGGUCUUCAUGUUAAUUUUUACGAACCUGGUGAAUCCCGUGCAGGAUUGAUGUUGCAUUCACGGGAAACCCGACCUCCUUUAACCAAGGACUGGGUGCGCCCCCAGCUAAUCCUCCUGCCCAUCAGAGAAUAGUGCUCUUUAAAGUUUUAAACGAUUAUAUAUUAUUUAUUUUGUAGUAAACCAUUACACAUAGAAAAUUAAAAUUCAAAAUCACAAUCACCAGGAUAUCAUAAUUUGCUAUAUAACAACAUAUAAUAGAUGAAAUGGGCUCCAGUGCGCGUGCCUGUAAUCCCAGCUACUCAGGAGGCUGAGGCAGAAGAAUCACUUGAACCCGGGCGUCAGAGGUUGCAGUGAGCCGAGAUCGCGCCACUGAGCUCCAGCCUGGGUGACAGAGCCAGACUCCGUCUCAAAAAAACAACAACAAAAAACAAAACUAACAAACAAAGAAAUGGGCUCUAGGUCCAGCGCUGUGGCCCACACCUGUAAUCCCAGCACUUUGGGAGGCCAAGAUUUGCCUAUUCUGGACGUUUCAUAUUAAGGGAACCAUAAAAUAUGUGGACUGACUGAUUUUAUUGAGAUAUGAUUGGCAUGCCAUAAAAUUCACCUUUUAAAGAUUGUUGUGGCUCUUAUUAGAUCCCUUGCAUUUCCAUAUGAAUUCUAGGGUCAUCUUGUCCAUUUCUGCAAAAAUGGCAGCUGGAAUUUUGAGAGAGACUACGUUGAAUCUGUGCCUCCAAUUAGGAGUAUGGCGACCCUAACAAUAGUAAGUCUUGUAAUACAUGCAUCCAGUGUCUUUUCAUUUAAGUCUUCAUUAAUUUCUUUCAAUGAUGAUUUGUAGUUUUAGUGUACAAGUAUUGCGUUUCUUUUUAAAAUUUAGUCCUAAGUAUUUUAUUCUUGUUACUUUGUAAAUAAAGCCAAUUUCUUCAUUUCAAUAUCAGAUUAUUCAUUAUGAAGUAUUGACUUUUUGUAUGUUGCUAGUGUAUUCUGCAGCCUUGUUGAAUUCAUUUAUUAGCUCUAAUAAGUUGUGUGUGUGUGUGUGUGUGUGUGUG